rnacentral:rRNA from 1 species
CCUGACCCCAUGCCGAACUCAGAAGUGAAACGCCGUAGCGCCGAUGGUAGUGUGGGGUCUCCCCAUGCGAGAGUAGGAAACUGCCAGGC